rnacentral:tRNA from 1 species
GUUGUGGCUUAGUGGUAGAGUGCUCGCCUAGCAUGCACAAGGCACUGGGUUCAAUUCUCAGCACAACA